rnacentral:rRNA from 1 species
CUACGGGGCGCACCAGUGGGGGAUAUUGCACAAUGGGGGAAACCCUGAUGCAGCAACGCCGCGUGGAGGAUGACACUUUUCGGAGCGUAAACUCCUUUUAUAUCCCAGGAUAAUGACGGUAGGAUAUGAAUAAGCACCGGCUAACUCCGUGCCAGCAGCCGCGGUAAUACGGGGGGUGCAAGCGUUACUCGGAAUCACUGGGCGUAAAGAGCGUGUAGGCGGGUUUGUAAGUUGGAAGUGAAAUCCACUGGCUUAACCAGUGAACUGCUUCCAAAACUACUUACCUAGAAUGUGGGAGAGGUAGAUGGAAUUUCUGGUGUAGGGGUAAAAUCCGUAGAGAUCAGAAGGAAUACCGAUUGCGAAGGCGAUCUACUGGAACAUAAUUGACGCUGAGACGCGAAAGCGUGGGGAGCAAACAGGAUUAGAUACCCCUGUAGUC